rnacentral:lncRNA from 1 species
UUAUCCAUUGGGCCACGGAGUCGUUGUGUGAUUAAGUUGAACGUUGAUCCUACUUAAUUACAUACAGCUGACCGAAAUCACUGUGCGAGUAGCGAGCACAUUUGUGUCAUUCCUACCACGGUUUUGAAAAAAACUAUGCUAGUACCAAACUAGGCCAGCACAAAGGAUGUCAUAACUGAAGGAUGCAAACCACUCAGGAAAAUAAAUAAAUUGUUCAGAACAUGGACAUGAAGGAAAAGGGAAGAACAUUGGAGGGAACGGCUCCAAUUAUUAAACAGAGGGCGGAUGGCUUCAGUCAAGAAGUUCUUAUUCGUCUUGCUGAUAAAAAAAACAUUGCCAUGCAUAUGGUCACACAGCUAGGUGAGGUAGUUGAUGAACUCGACGGCGGUCGCAAUCGCACCUCCGGUGAUGGCAUCCUGGGCAAUCUUGUUCCCUUUGUUGUUGCUCACAGCAGAGAUCAGGGCGCCGCUUGUGAUGCCUCCAAUCAACGCAUUUUUCUACGGGGGUACCAGAAAAGAGAGAGAUGACUAAAUACUCUCAAGACUGACUGCAAACAUGCCAACAACAAUAUUGAUCAUAAAAUAGAUAAUAUUUUUAUGGUUAAGAUACCUAACCUGCUAGCACAAUAUUAGAGUUACAUAAUCUUAGGACAGGGUGUGGACACACAAGUGAAAACUAGCAUCAUGAUUUAUGAGAUGCAAUGAAUCGGAUUGAUUCUUCUCGUGCACUAAUUAGCAAAGAAUCUUAGUCAAACUGAAGAAAGGAUCUCCAUUGUCAAAUGGGCAGAGGCAGUCAUGCAGAUAGAUAUUCCUCCACCUUAGGUUCAGUUAAGUGCAGGAAACAUGAAAGAUCCAUUUUCAGAGAAUCAUUACCCAGUCAUACUGACCACGGACCCUUUCCACUCCAUACUCCAUGCCUACAUACACUCCAGCAACAGCACCUGCAGAUUAACAGAAGAAGCACCAGAAUGCGUCAGCGAACAUAAGAAGAAACGGAUGAGCGAUUGACACCAAUGCAUUCUUAUGAGCCAAAUAAAACAAUAAAGAAAUGUUCUUCUACUUAGUUACCCCAAUAUGCGCCCUCCUUGCACAUUUUCUUCAGCUGCAUAAAAGACCAGAAUACCAUAUUAGUACACUGUAGAUGACAGAUAGAUAGUUACCUUGACGCAAGUGCAGAAACAAGGCCACUGACUUUUCACUAAUCCACAAGUAGAGAGCAAUUAUGCAAAGUAGUGGUUCAAGGCCUUAGACUUUUAGUUCAGCUGUUUUUUUCUCCAUUUAUCAUACGAGGGUAUGUUCAAGGCACCCCUAUUGAACAAGUCUGAACUGUUGAACAUUUAGUCAGUUGCACAGUUGAAUAUAUCAUCUGCCUAUUAGGCCACUACUAUUAUACUAUUGUAAUACUGAUAGUGGCAAGACUCGGGACAAUUAAGUUAAGUGAGAGAAAAAACAAACGCAGUGGAAACCAGCACUUACUGUCUGCUCAAGAUUGCGCUUCGAGACACUCCCUGAAAAGCAAAAGAAAAUAAUUUGAUGUCACAUUUGUCUGCACAGCACCAACAAAAACUGAUGUAUGUCCCACUGUAUGCUGUUUCUACCUUCAAACUAAAAUCUGGGCGUUUCUACCUUCAUCAUUCAGAAAAGAAGAAAAAAAUCCUUAAUUUUCUCAGGGAAUGGAUCUAUCAGUUACCCUACACCGUCGCCCAAGCUAGGCGAUUUUCUGAGCGCAAAAGGAAAGAAACCGGCCGAAUCUGUGGGGCGGAAGAAAUCAGAGACGGGAUGCGUGGUUACCACUUUGGAGGCAGUCGAAGGCGUCCUCGGCGGCCACCCUGCAGGCGCCGACCUGCGCACAUUAUCCAAUCGCCGGAUCAGACACAUUGCAAUAUACAGACAUUGGAUGAAAGAUGAGGGAGCGUACGGCGCCGAUCUUGAGGAAGCCGUCGACGGUGCGGUUGAGGAGCGGGUUCCCGAGGUCGAUGGCGAUGUCCAACUUGUUCGACCCCGCCGACAACCCCGCGCGAGGCAUCCUUCCUGAACCUUCUCGGCCGACCUCCCUCCCUCCCCCUCUCUCUCUCUCGUCUAGCACUCGGCACACAGAUACAGAGCAAGAAGAUAGAUAGGCCACGUUAUCCCCAUUCGAGGGACCCAUCCAUUUGUAGGAAACUGUUGCACACAGAUACAAUGCUUUUCCAGAACGGAGAACCAGGUUUGGCCCAAAGCAAACUAGGUUUGUUAACAACAUGUUUAAAACAUCGGAACCACUAAUAAUAAAGAAAUUAAAACGUACAAGUUUCUUCCAAUCACUUUCCCUCUCAUCAAAGAACCUUUUGCUCCACCAAGCAAGUUUUGUCCGGAUUUUGUCCGUUUGGUAGGGCUAUGGGGCGGCGUCCGGCCGUUUUCCUCGAUGCGUUGACCGUGCACCCAACGCGCGGAUGCGUCAUUUGUAGUCAGGGUCGUCGGCCGCCGGCGUCGGGAGUGGCAUUUCGUCGAACGGGUUGCGGGUGCUGGGAAGGUUGGCCGUAGGAAUCGGUCGGGACUGCUUCCUUUGCGUCUCAUUGGAUGACUAGCCAGAGCCACUGUACCCAGGCAUGGCGUUGACGUUGAUGACAGACAUGGCGUCGGGGAUGGCCGGCACGAUCACGCUACCGUCCGCGCGAUGUGGAGAACCGGGUCUGAGCAUGCUGCCGCAGUGGAUGAAAACCGGGCAUCUCUAAUGUUAUGGAAUAGCUCGACGACUGGUACUGCGGAGGGCGAACGGCCGACAAGCUUAUAGGAUAAAUUCCUACCCUAUAGGAUAAAUUCCUACCAAACCGUCCAACAAUGUUUUUAAUAAUCCUAUCAACAAUAGGUCGCAGAUUUUCCCUCCUCGGUUUUCUUGUAAUGAAGAGGGACCCCCGGGUAGGGAAAAUCCCCUAUGUGACAGCAGAAAAUCUGAGCAAAGCAUUUUGACAUCUCUUCAUCCACAUGUAUGAUGUGGAGGUCACCCUUAUGGAUGUUAAUCUUUAAUCCAGAAGGUUUUUCAAAACAAGCAAGGAUCCAUUUCAAAUUUCUAGCAUAUUCAGCAGAAGCCUCUAAGAAAAGAAUGGUGUCAUCAACAUAUUGAAGGCUGACACCACCACCAAGGGACCACAUGCGGUAGAAGACUAGCUAUCAAUUUUUGAUUCAUAGCUUUAGCAAGCAUUUUAGAAAAUACAUCAUCCACCCAAUUAAAAAGCAAUGGAGAAAGAGGGUCGCCUUGUUCAACCCCUUCCCCCCUGCAAAGUGGGGUCCAUUGGUGUCAUUAAUCCUAGCACAAAAAUGAGCUUUGAUGCGGAGAACUACAAAUCCAAUUAAUCCAUUUUCCCCAAAGGCUCUAGAAGUGAGCAUUUCCACGAGGAAAUCCCAACUCACUUUAUCAUAGGCUUUGUGACAGUCUAGUUUCAGGACCAGACCAUUGGUGUCAGUCAUGUGAAUCUCAUGAAUCACUUCAUGCACCUUGACCACACUUUCUAAAAUGAAUCUACCAUUGAUAAAAACAAUCUGGUUACGAGAUAUCAAUCUGUCACAAAAUAGGAGAGACUCUAGUGGUCAUAGCUUUAGAGACAAUUUUAAGGACUAAAGUAAUAACUUAGACUAAUAGGUCCGGAGUUUUUCAUAUCUUUGGCAUUGGGAACUUUAGGGACUAAAGUAAUAAUAGCAAAAUCUAAACGUUAAAAAUCUAAGGUACCAGCUUCAAAAUCCCUCACCAACCACAUAAAAUAAUCUUUGAUCAAGUCCUAGAAAGUUUGAUAAAAUAAAGAGGCCAUCAGGUCCAGGAGCACCACUUGCAUAAGAACUCAUAAUGACAGUCUUUAUUUCUUCCUCAGAAAAGGGUUUUCCCCGUAAGGCAUUGUCUUCCAUAGUCAUUAAAUCAUUCUCAUUGCAGAAAGCAGAAUCCAUAUGGAUAUCAGGUUUUGGUUCUAAAGAGAAAAGGUCUUUACGAAAAGUAGUUGCAACAUUAAGCAUGUCAGAAGUAGAGGUAACAGACCCUGAGGUCCAUUCAAUUCUGAGAGGUGGUUUUUACGGUGUCUAUGAUUAGCCAAAGAACGAGAGUAGGCAUUAUUACGAUCUCCCUCAAGAAUUUUUCUAUCUUUGGAUAUCUGCCAUAAGGCACUCCUCUCUUUUUUCCAAAUCUUACUUAAUCCAGUCUUAAUAUCUUUCAUUCUUUCAUAGUCUGUAGUAGAAAGUGGGCUAGAUUCAGAAGGACAUCUAACAUAUUAAACUCCAGAAGGAGGGCCUUCUUUUUCUUCUUAAUGGUAGCCUCAAUAUUUAUACUGCAACCUUUAAUUUCCUUCCUAAGAACCCUAGUUCUGCAUUGUGAAUUAUCAACAGAAGAGGUAGUGUCAGAGACAGAAGUCCACACAUAUCAUGAACUAAUUGAACAAAACCAGGUUGAGAUAACCGUCAUUUCUCAAACCUAAACAUUUUAGGGCUAUUGAUCUUUCUAGCCCCGGUAUCAAACAUCAGGGGAGUAUGAUCACUGCCCACGGCCCACCCUUGAAAAGGUUACUCUCUCCGUCCCAUAAUGUAAGACGUUAGGACGUUACAUUACGGGAAGGAGGGAGUACAAGUGAAGAAAGAGGGGAAUGUGCAUCCUAGUUCUAUCAAUGACAGCAAAAAAAGGAUCAAUCUGAUUAUUGGAUCAGGUAAAGUUUCUAUUAGAGAUAGGACCAUCUCAUCUAAACAAAGGAUCAAUUUUGUUUUCUAUAAUCUUAACAGGGGUAAGUACAAAUGAAGGAAGUACUAAACAAAGGUCGAAUGUGUAUACUUUGACCACGUAACAGGGGUAAUUGUUAGCUUACACUUUUAGAGUUAAAUAAGUUGCAAAGCUUAGCAUUACAAUUUAUCAUUUAGUUUCGGGCUGUUCAUAAUAUCUACGGUAAUGAGGACAUAACCAUUUCGGAACAAAAAUAAUACAAAUACUCCCUACGUCCCGAAUUGCUAGAUAUCCGUUUAGGCGACGAGUAAUUCCAGACAGAGGAAGCACAAAGCAAGCAAAAUUUAACAUUGCCAUUUAUCAUUGAGUUUCAAAACAUAGUUUGAAAAGGACGACUAAACAAGUUUGCUUAAACGGUAAUGAGGACAUAAACAUUUCUGAAGAAAAAUAAUAGCACUAUCUGGGAAGGAAGGAGGAGUACACAAAAGUUUCUAUUAGAGAUAGGACCAUCUCAUCUAAACAAAGGAUCAAUUUUGUUUUCUAUAAUCUUAACAGGGGUAAGUACAAAUGAAGGAAGUACUAAACAAAGGUCGAAUGUGUAUACUUUGACCACGUAACAGGGGUAAUUGUUAGCUUACACUUUUAGAGUUAAAUAAGUUGCAAAGCUUAGCAUUACAAUUUAUCAUUUAGUUUCGGGCUGUUCAUAAUAUCUACGGUAAUGAGGACAUAACCAUUUCGGAACAAAAAUAAUACAAAUACUCCCUACGUCCCGAAUUGCUAGAUAUCCGUUUAGGCGACGAGUAAUUCCAGACAGAGGAAGCACAAAGCAAGCAAAAUUUAACAUUGCCAUUUAUCAUUGAGUUUCAAAACAUAGUUUGAAAAGGACGACUAAACAAGUUUGCUUAAACGGUAAUGAGGACAUAAACAUUUCUGAAGAAAAAUAAUAGCACUAUCUGGGAAGGAAGGAGGAGUACACAAAAGUUUCUAUUAGAGAUAGGACCAUCUCAUCUAAACAAAGGAUCAAUUUUGUUUUCUAUAAUCUUAACAGGGGUAAGUACAAAUGAAGGAAGUACUAAACAAAGGUCGAAUGUGUAUACUUUGACCACGUAACAGGGGUAAUUGUUAGCUUACACUUUUAGAGUUAAAUAAGUUGCAAAGCUUAGCAUUACAAUUUAUCAUUUAGUUUCGGGCUGUUCAUAAUAUCUACGGUAAUGAGGACAUAACCAUUUCGGAACAAAAAUAAUACAAAUACUCCCUACGUCCCGAAUUGCUAGAUAUCCGUUUAGGCGACGAGUAAUUCCAGACAGAGGAAGCACAAAGCAAGCAAAAUUUAACAUUGCCAUUUAUCAUUGAGUUUCAAAACAUAGUUUGAAAAGGACGACUAAACAAGUUUGCUUAAACGGUAAUGAGGACAUAAACAUUUCUGAAGAAAAAUAAUAGCACUAUCUGGGAAGGAAGGAGGAGUACACAAAAAAGAAGCGACUCCGCCGCUGGGGAUCGAACCCAGAAUCUCUGGUUUCGUAGACCAGCGCCUUAUCCAUUGGGCCACGGAGCCCUUGAAUGUAUGGAUGGAGCGUUGAGCUUGCUUAAUUAGACACCCGUGAGCGGAAUCACUGUGCGGCUAGUGAGGGCAUUUGUGUCAUUCCUGCCACGAUUUUGAAAGAACUAUGGUACCAAACUAGGCCAGCACAAAGGAUGCCAUAACUGAAGGAUGCAAACCACGAAGGAGAAUAAAUUAUUCAGAACAUGGACAUGAGAACGCAGGCAACAGAAAAUGGAAGAACAUUGGAGGAAACGGCUCCAAUUAUUAACACAGAGGGUGAUGGCUUGGCUUCAGUCAAGAAGUUCUUAUUCAGUCUUGUCCGAUAAAAACAUAGCUGCGAAUAUGGAUGGCCUCACAGCUAGGUGAGGUAGUUGAUGAACUCGACGGCGGUCGCGAUGGCGCCUCCGGUGAUGGCGUCCUGGGCGAUCUUGUUCCCUUUGUUGUUGCUCGCGGCAGAGACCAGGGCACCGGUUGCAAUGCCUCCUAGCAACGCAUUUUUCUGCGGGAGCACCGGAAAAGAGAGAGGGAUUAAUAAACAAUCUAAGACUGAC